rnacentral:misc_RNA from 1 species
UGCAACCAUUGCAGGUAAAUUUCCCCUUUCGUGCAUGUAGUUCUUUGUUUAUCUGUCAUAGUCUGAAGUGUUUCUAUGUAUUUCUAACCAUUUAAAGUAGCAUCGAAACGUAGUUGAUAAAUUCAAUAUGCUCGAAUUGACUAACAUUUUGUGCUUUCUAAAUUAAAGCAUGUGUAUUCAUAGAUAUGAAGGGUCUCUCUCGGUGCAGG